GGAGCUGUAUGUUUUGUGUGUAAUCUACUUGGGAUAUUGAUUCGUGGAGCUGUCUGUUUUGUGUGUAAUUUGCUUGGGAUCUUGUUUUCUGGACCUCUCGGCUUUCUCAACAUGUGCUUCCUGCAUCACAGCUUAAGUGACGAAAAGCCCUGAUUGUGCAAGGGUUUACCUUGAACGAAUAAGGAAGGGUGAGAUGCACUGUUGAGUGCUACAACAUCAACUAUUAAUGAGGUGAAAGGAUAUCUUGAUUGCCGAUACAAGUAUUUCAUUGGUGCAUGCCUCUUGGUUUUCUGAAAUUCUAAUUAUGCUUUUUUUCAUAUGUUGCCUAUGACUAUACCACUGUGUAGCUAACUGGCAAAAACUAUGUGUCAGAUGUUGUUGGAUGAUCACAGAGGUUUCUGAGCUGGCUAGAGUACAGCUUUAUAAUCAAAACAAGCCUAUAGUUCGUAGGACAAUUACAUUAAAAGACACAAGCAACUAUGUGAUGAAUCUUUAUAUACAUGCGGUCAGAGGGCUUCUGAUGCUUAUGGGAUGUACGCAGCUGGCCAAGAUGAAACGGUUAUUGCUAUCUUUGUUUGCACACUGAUGAAGUCUUACAAAGGUGAGCAUUCACUCAGUGGAAAUACAACCUGUCGAUGGUAUAUUAAUCCUGAUGUUCCCGAGAUCCAUGCUUUCUAGACAGCCUGCAUGGUGAGUUCCAGUCUAUGCAAUGUGUCAGAGCGGAUGAACAAUCAGUUAUUGCUCGGCCUGUGAUUGCUGAACCUUGGAUGAAAUCUUUGGAAGAGCUGUUCUAGAACAGUCCAUAUGGAUUUCCACCUGAAGGUUUCUGAUGUACCGUUACCAUUUCAAGAACCGAUCCAUUCAUAUCUUGGUAGUUGCCCUCGUGUUCAACCGGUGCGUUAAGACCGCGCUUCCAGAUGGAAAUGGAUAUAAAUGUCCACACUGCCAAUGCACAUGCUAUAAAUUCAAGUACAAGAUAUAUUUGAUUGGGACUGACGGGACAUAUGAAGCGGAGUUUGUGUUCUUUGGAGAUAUGAGUCGUUGCCUUGUUCGUAAGGAAGUCAAAAUGCCAAUGAGGGCGUGUCACUGGGCUGAUGGCAUCCCAAGUGAGAUAACAUUGCUGGUUUCCGAAAGUAUUCAUUCAUGAUUAAUGUGACCUGCAAAUGUUUUGAGAAACCAUAGCGAUCAUACCAAGUGAACAACAUCAACUGUGUCUACGGUAGAUAGCCUACAAUUCCAACAGUGCAGAAAUCUAGUGGUAGGUCUGUUGAUAGCGGAGGCAAAGCUAUCAUAUUGCAUGGAUCAUCAUCCAGUAAGGUAGCGUUUGGUUGGUUGAAUGAAAUUGAAUGAGAUGGGAUGUCUUGGAUGGGAUGAGUAAGGUAGCGUUUGGUUGGUUGAAUGAAGUUGAAUGAGAUGGGAUGUCUUGGAUGG